UGGGGAAUAUUGCACAAUGGGCGAAAGCCUGAUGCAGCAACGCCGCGUGAGUGAUGAAGGCCUUCGGGUUGUAAAGCUCUGUCUUCUGGGACGAUAAUGACGGUACCAGAGGAGGAAGCCACGGCUAACUACGUGCUAGCAGCCGCGGUAAUACGUAGGUGGCAAGCGUUGUCCGGAUUUACUGGGCGUAAAGGAUGCGUAGGCGGAUACUUAAGUCAGAUGUGAAAAUCCCGGGCUUAACUUGGGAACUGCAUUUGAAACUGGGUAUCUAGAGUGCGGGAGAGGAAAGUGGAAUUCCUAGUUGAGCGGUGAAAUGCGUAGAGAUUAGGAAGAACACCAGUGGCGAAGGCGACUUUCUGGACCGUAACUGACGCAGAGGCAUGAAAGCGUGGGGAGCAAACA
rnacentral:rRNA from 1 species